rnacentral:rRNA from 1 species
UAGGGAAUCUUCGGCAAUGGACGAAAGUCUGACCGAGCAACGCCGCGCGAGUGAAGAAGGUUUUCGGUUCGUAAAACUCUGUUGUUAGAGAAGAACAAGGACGUUAGUAACUGAACGUCCCCUGACGGUAUCUAACCAGAAAGCCACGGCUAACUACGUGCCAGCAGCCGCGGUAAUACGUAGGUGGCAAGCGUUGUCCGGAUUUAUUGGGCGUAAAGCGAGCGCAGGCGGUUUCUUAAGGCUGAUGUGAAAGCCCCCGGCUCAACCGGGGAGGGUCAUAGGAAGCUGGGAGACUUGAGUGCAGAAGAGGGGAGUGGAAUUCCUUGUGUAGCGAUGAAAUGCGUGGGUAUAUGGAGGAACGCCAGUGGCGAGGGCGGCUCGCUGAUCUGUAACUGACGCUGAGGCUCGAAGGCGUGGGGAGCAAACAAG